AAGUCGUAACAAGGUUUCCGUAGGUGAACCUGCGGAAGGAUCAUUAACGAGUUUUGAAAAGAGUUGUAGCUGGCCUUUAAAAUCAUUAACCAAAUAAAAAUAAAAAUAAAAGGCAUGUGCACACUCUGCUCAUCCACUCUCAUACCCCUGUGCACUUAUUGUAGGCUGGGUCGGAUGACUGGCUGUGAGAGGCCGGUUCGAAAAGCCUUGUCUAUGUUUUAUUACAAACAAGCUCAGUUUAAGAAUGUCAUAUUAUAUUAGCGUGUAACGCAAUAAAUACAACUUUCAGCAACGGAUCUCUUGGCUCUC
rnacentral:misc_RNA from 1 species